GACGAACGCUGGCGGCGUGCCUAAUACAUGCAAGUCGAGCGGAUCUUCAUUAGCUUGCUUUUGAAGAUCAGCGGCGGACGGGUGAGUAACACGUGGGCAACCUGCCUGUAAGACUGGGAUAACUUCGGGAAACCGGAGCUAAUACCGGAUAAUCCUUUUCCUCCCAUGAGGAAAAGCUGAAAGACGGUUUCGGCUGUCACUUACAGAUGGGCACGCGGCGCAUUAGCUAGUUGGUGAGGUAACGGCUCACCAAGGCGACGAUGCGUAGCCGACCUGAGAGGGUGAUCGGCCACACUGGGACUGAGACACGGCCCAGACUCCUACGGGAGGCAGCAGUAGGGAAUCUUCCGCAAUGGACGAAAGUCUGACGGAGCAACGCCGCGUGAGCGAUGAAGGCCUUCGGGUCGUAAAGCUCUGUUGUCAGGGAAGAACAAGUACCGGAGUAACUGCCGGUACCUUGACGGUACCUGACCAGAAAGCCACGGCUAACUACGUGCCAGCAGCCGCAGUAAGAC
rnacentral:rRNA from 1 species